rnacentral:rRNA from 1 species
ACGAACGCUGGCGGCAGGCCUAACACAUGCAAGUCGAACGCGUGUAGCAAUACACGAGUGGCGCACGGGUGAGUAACACGUGGGAAUCAACUUUGAGGUUUGGAAUAACCGCGGGAAACUGCGGCUAAUACCGGAUAUCCCCUACGGGGGAAAGAUUUAUCGCCUUGGGACGAGCCCGCGUCCGAUUAGCUAGUUGGUGAGGUAACGGCUCACCAAGGCUACGAUCGGUAGCUGGUCUGAGAGGAUGACCAGCCACACUGGAACUGAGAUACGGUCCAGACUCCUACGGGAGGCAGCAGUGGGGAAUAUUGGGCAAUGGAGGCAACUCUGACCCAGCCAUGCCGCGUGGGUCACGAAGGUCUUCGGAUUGUAAAGCCCUUUCGGCGGGGACGAUGAUGACGGUAUCUGCAGAAGAAGCCCUGGCUAACUUCGU